AUGCUCCGCCUCCGCAGCUGCUGCAUCGUCGCCCGACUCAUCUCUCCCCCCUCCGCGUCUUCCAUCCCUCCUCUCCACCGCCUCCUCUCCACCACGGUCCCGGUUCCGGCAAACCCUGGCUUCGCCGUGGAGGAGUACCUGGUCGAGACCUGCGGCCUCACCCGAGCACAAGCGCUCAAGGCCUCCGCAAAGCUCUCCCACCUCAAGUCCCCCGCCAAGCCAGACGCCGGCCUCGGCCUCUCCGGCGCCGACGUCGCCGCCCUCGUCGCGCGGGAUCCCAAGUUCCUCUGCGCCGGCGUGGAGACGACCCUGUCCCCCAUCGUCGUCGAGCUCACGGGCCUCGGGCUGUCCCCUUGUGACAUCGCCCGGCUCCUCACGCUCGCUGCCAACACCCACCUCCGCAACAAAUCCGUCGUCUCCAAGGUGGACUACUACCUGCGCCUCUUCGGCUCCUUUGAGGAAUUCCUCCGGGCGUUCAAACGUAACCAUCAUCUCCUCUCGUGCAGCCUCGAGAGGGUGGUCAAGCGGAACGUCGGGUUACUGCAGGAGUGCACGCUAGGUGCUUGUGAUAUUGGCAAGCUAGCCGUGUCUGUGCCAAGGAUGCUCACCGCCAAUGUGGAGCAAAUCCGGGAGAUGGUGGCCAGUGCUGAAGCUUUAGGUGUGCCUCGCGGGUCUGGGAUGUUCAGGCAUGCUCUGCGCUCUGUUGCAUUCCUCGGCGAGGAGAAGAUCGCCUCCAGAACGGACUACUUGAAGAAGACGUUUAGGUGGUCGGAUGCCGAGGUUGGGAUUGCUGUGUCCAAGGGUCCAUUUGUGCUCGUGUCGUCAAAGGACACGCUGAAGCGCAGGUCUGAGUUCCUUAUCUCUGAGGUGGGGUUGGAGCCAGCGUACAUUGCUCGCCACCCAUCAUUGCUCAGUUAUAGCUUGGAGGGCCGGCUCAGGCCCCGGUGCUAUGUUAUGAAGUUUCUUACGGAAAACAGAUUGCUCAAGCGUCACACGUGCUACUAUACAUUUGUUAAGGCCACCGAGAUGGAAUUCUUGGACAAGUUCAUAUGCCCUUACAAGGAAGCUGCACCACACCUUGCCGAAGACUAUGCAGCUGCUUGCAAAGGGGAAGUGCCAACUAGAUUCAGAUUUACAUGA
rnacentral:rRNA from 1 species